GAUGAACGCUGGCGGCGUGCCUAAUACAUGCAAGUCGAGCGAACGGACGAGAAGCUUGCUUCUCUGAUGUUAGCGGCGGACGGGUGAGUAACACGUGGAUAACCUACCUAUAAGACUGGGAUAACUUCGGGAAACCGGAGCUAAUACCGGAUAAUAUUUUGAACCGCAUGGUUCAAAAGUGAAAGACGGUCUUGCUGUCACUUAUAGAUGGAUCCGCGCUGCAUUAGCUAGUUGGUGAGGUAACGGCUUACCAAGGCAACGAUGCAUAGCCGACCUGAGAGGGUGAUCGGCCACACUGGAACUGAGACACGGUCCAGACUCCUACGGGAGGCAGCAGUAGGGAAUCUUCCGCAAUGGGCGAAAGCCUGACGGAGCAACGCCGCGUGAGUGAUGAAGGUCUUCGGAUCGUAAAACUCUGUUAUUAGGGAAGAACAUAUGUGUAAGUAACUGUGCACAUCUUGACGGUACCUAAUCAGAAAGCCACGGCUAACUACGUGCCAGCAGCCGCGGUAAUACGUAGGUGGCAAGCGUUAUCCGGAAUUAUUGGGCGUAAAGCGCGCGUAGGCGGUUUUUUAAGUCUGAUGUGAAAGCCCACGGCUCAACCGUGGAGGGUCAUUGGAAACUGGAAAACUUGAGUGCAGAAGAGGAAAGUGGAAUUCCAUGUGUAGCGGUGAAAUGCGCAGAGAUAUGGAGGAACACCAGUGGCGAAGGCGACUUUCUGGUCUGUAACUGACGCUGAUGUGCGAAAGCGUGGGGAUCAAACAGGAUUAGAUACCCUGGUAGUCCACGCCGUAAACGAUGAGUGCUAAGUGUUAGGGGGUUUCCGCCCCUUAGUGCUGCAGCUAACGCAUUAAGCACUCCGCCUGGGGAGUACGACCGCAAGGUUGAAACUCAAAGGAAUUGACGGGGACCCGCACAAGCGGUGGAGCAUGUGGUUUAAUUCGAAGCAACGCGAAGAACCUUACCAAAUCUUGACAUCCUUUGACAACUCUAGAGAUAGAGCUAUCCCCUUCGGGGGACAAAGUGACAGGUGGUGCAUGGUUGUCGUCAGCUCGUGUCGUGAGAUGUUGGGUUAAGUCCCGCAACGAGCGCAACCCUUAAGCUUAGUUGCCAUCAUUAAGUUGGGCACUCUAAGUUGACUGCCGGUGACAAACCGGAGGAAGGUGGGGAUGACGUCAAAUCAUCAUGCCCCUUAUGAUUUGGGCUACACACGUGCUACAAUGGACAAUACAAAGGGCAGCGAAACCGCGAGGUCAAGCAAAUCCCAUAAAGUUGUUCUCAGUUCGGAUUGUAGUCUGCAACUCGACUACAUGAAGCUGGAAUCGCUAGUAAUCGUAGAUCAGCAUGCUACGGUGAAUACGUUCCCGGGUCU
rnacentral:rRNA from 1 species